rnacentral:rRNA from 1 species
UACGUAGGGGGCAAGCGUUGUCCGGAAUCAUUGGGCGUAAAGCGCGUGUAGGCGGCCAGAUAAGUCCGCUGUGAAAUCUCGAGGCUCAACUUCGAGCUGUCGGUGGAAACUGUCUGGCUAGAGUCCGGAAGAGGAGAAUGGAAUUCCUGGUGUAGCGGUGAAAUGCGCAGAUAUCAGGAAGAACACCCGUGGCGAAGGCGGCUCACUGGCCCGAUACUGACGCUGAGGAGCGAAAGCGUGGGGAGCGAACAGG